CAAACUAGCCCAGUGCUGUCAAAUCAGAUUAAUGGGGAUGCUUUGUCCUGACUUUCCACACACCAGAACGAUUAUUUAAUGAAUUAUUAUAUGACCAACCUAAUAAAAAGGAUGCAAACAAUCAUACUAACUAGUCUUCUUCUGUAAACAGAGCCUUAAAGUUCACUCCUACUGUAAGUGUUGUUCAGAAUGUAAUGGUUGAAGGACUGGAAUAUGUAGUUUAUCAGGAGAUCUAUGCCACAUAUUUCUGCUGUUGGCAGAAUCUAAUAGAGUAAGAAGAUAGAAAUUUGUGGAAUACUCUGUGGAAAGCUGCCACAUAAUUAACUUACUUCUAUCCGUGUAAUUGUGCCAAAGGAGUCUUCAGGACCAGACUCUUGGGAUGUGGAGAAUGCAAAAUAAUUAUUCAAUGUUCAGGAUCAGCAUGAUCUUCUUACUCUGAGAUGGGUCCAUACACACCUAACCCUUCAUCCAAAACUGAAUUAUUGUCCAGCAUUGAUCUUCACACUCACUGUUCCUAUCAGCUCGUGCUGCCAGAGGCUGUUGUCAUUGUCUGUUCAUCAAAGCAUAAAGACAUGCAUGGCAUCUCCCCGCUUACCAGUUCUGGCACGUUUGGGCUUUCCAGCUGACCACCAAGGAGCCCAGGCUGUUUAGUUUAUGUAAGUGUAUGUUGGUAAAAAACAUAAAAAUAAUUAUGCUGGAUCUGAGGUGA
rnacentral:lncRNA from 1 species